UGCUUAAACCUGCCACAGCCAUGUUGUGAUUAUGAAGGGAGCCAACCUGAGGACAAAUCACAUUUUCUGAGGAUGGCAAAGCAAACAGAUGCAAAGAUCCUGGGUCUUUGAUGGCAUUGUGGAGUUGCUGGACAGCUUCCCUACUUUUCACGUUCCUAUGACACAAUGUUAUCAUCGUCCUUGUUGUAUCAGCCAGGAGGCAGGAGUGUGUGCUUCAGUCAGUUUGAGCUCCACCCAGGGAGAACAGAUCAUGAAUACUUCUAAUGCACACGAUCUGAAAGCCGGAAGUCUGAGAUCAGAGUGACAGCAUGGUCAGCCUCUGCUGAGGACUGUCUUCAGGGUUGCAGACUGCAGACUUCUCAUUGUAUCCUCACAUGGUGGAAAGAGCAAGAUAACUUUCUGCGGUCUCCUUUAGAAGAACACUAAUUUCAUUCAUGAUGCCUCCUCUCUCAUGACCUAAUUAUCUUCCAAAGUCCCCACCUCCUAAUACCAUCACACUGGGGUAUGGAUUUCAACAUGUAACUUUUGGUGGGGAGUGGGAGAGGAGUACAAGCAUUCAGUCCAUAAUAACUACAUAAUAAAAAUAUUUAAAAAAUGAAAUUAUUAAACAGGAACACAGUACAAAUAAUAUGAUAGGACAAAGACCAAAUAUAUUUUAUAUGUUAAUAAAAGUAAAUAUUCAUUAAGAUAAUUUUCAGAAUGGAUCACAAAGCAAAUCCAACUUUGUUAUAUGUAAGAAAUACAUGUAAACAAAGAUAUUCACAAAGUUUAAGAGUUAAAUACACACCAGAGAAAUACAAAUGCAAAGAAAGCAGUGACGGAUAUCUUAAUAUCACACAACAUAGAAUUCAAGACAAAUAUCAU
rnacentral:lncRNA from 1 species